GGUUGAGCAAUGCCAUAUCCAUUCGUGUCUAGUUUUGAAUGGAUGUGUUUUCUAAGGAUUCACAUGAACAACGGCCAAUGGCGGCCAGCAACUUAAGCACGUCACCCAGCCAGUGUCCUGCCCACCUUCGUGUUUGCUGUCCAUGGCCCAUGCACCCUUGGCUGCAUUCUCCAGUCUCAUCUAAUUUGCCCUCCUUGUAAGGCCUUAGUCCCCUGCCGGACCUCUGGAACAGUUGUGCGGUCUGACAGGUACAAUUGUAGCAACACCAAUCUUUCCAAUGAUUGUCUGCUCCUGGGGCUGGCUGAGUUGGAGAUUUGGUAGCAUCUACGUCGAGCUCGGUUGUAAGGAAAUCUCUGUCCUUCUAAUGCAUGGUGAGAAGACUUGAGAGCCAGGGAAAACAUACACUUGAGGAGCUAGGGAUAGGCAUGGCUUCAGUCAUGGCUCCUCCCUGGCCUCGGGAAAGCCCUUCACUUGUCUCAUUUCUGAAACAGAAAUAGAAGUGUUUCUAACGGUUUAGCACCCACCAGCCCUGACAUCUACAAGGACCUAACAGAAAAGUCCAGAGACUAUUUAUGCACUCCAGUACCAUAAUCUGUCGUGGAUGGACUGAUGCAGGUGAGUGAGGAGGGAGUCCGAAGUCUGAGUAUCUU